UACGUAGGGAGCAAGCGUUGUUCGGAUUUACUGGGCGUAAAGGGCGCGUAGGCGGCGCGGUAAGUCACCUGUGAAAUCUCUGAGCUUAACUCAGAACGGCCAAGUGAUACUGCAGUGCUAGAGUGCAGAAGGGGCAAUCGGAAUUCUUGGUGUAGCGGUGAAAUGCGUAGAUAUCAAGAGGAACACCUGAGGUGAAGACGGGUUGCUAGGCUGACACUGACGCUGAGGCGCGAAAGCCAGGGGAGCAAACGGG
rnacentral:rRNA from 1 species